rnacentral:tRNA from 1 species
CUAGAGAAAGAGGAAGGCCCUCCUCCUUAACGAC